AAACCAUGCAUAGGACACUUCAAUAACAAAUAUUUAAGUCUUUCCCAUGCUUCAUUCAAGCUUUCAUAUUCAUCUUCUUGAAUGAAGUUAAGUCAUUUCGAAGCUU